UCCUCUCCUUUGACUGCGAUGAGGGCAGC
rnacentral:sRNA from 1 species